CAGUAGCCGCGGUAAUACGUAGGGUGCGAGCGUUAAUCGGAAUUACUGGGCGUAAAGCGUGCGCAGGCGGUUCGUUAAGACAGAUGUGAAAUUCCUGGGCUCAACCUGGGGGCUGCAUUUGAUACGUGCUGUCUUGAGUUCGGAAGAGGGUCGUGGAAUUCCCAGUGUAGAGGUGAAAUUCGUAGAUAUUGGGAAGAACACCGGUGGCGAAGGCGGCGACCUGGUCCUUGACUGACGCUGAGGCGCGAAAGCGUGGGGAGCAAACAGGAUUAGAUACCCGCGUAGUCCCUGUCUCUUAUAC
rnacentral:rRNA from 1 species